rnacentral:rRNA from 1 species
UACGUAGGCAGCAAGCGUUGUUCGGAAUUACUGGGCGUAAAGAGUGUGUAGGCGGUGCUCCAAGUCUGGUGUGAAAUCUCCCGGCUUAACUGGGAGGGUGCAUUAGAAACUGGAAUGCUAGAGGAUGGGAGAGGUAAGCGGAAUUCCUGGUGUAGCGGUGAAAUGCGUAGAUAUCAGGAGGAACACCUGUGGUGUAGACGGCUUUCUGGACCAUAGCUGACGCUGAGACACGAAAGCGUGGGUAGCAAACAGG